UACGAAGGGGGCUAGCGUUGCUCGGAAUGACUGGGCGUAAAGGGCGCGUAGGCGGACUGCACAGUCAGGCGUGAAAUUCCUGGGCUUAACCUGGGGACUGCGUCUGAGACGUGUGAUCUAGAGUGAGGAAGAGGGUAGUGGAAUUUCCAGUGUAGAGGUGAAAUUCGUAGAUAUUGGAAAGAACACCGGUGGCGAAGGCGGCGCCCUGGUCGGUGACUGACGCUGAGGCACGAAAGCGUGGGGAGCAAACAGG
rnacentral:rRNA from 1 species